rnacentral:rRNA from 1 species
CCUACGGGGGGCAGCAGUGGGGAAUAUUGCACAAUGGGGGGAACCCUGAUGCAGCGACGCCGCGUGGGUGAAGGAGUAUUUCGGUAUGUAAAGCCCUAUCAGCAGGGAAGAACAAUGACGGUACCUGACUAAGAAGCACCGGCUAAAUACGUGCCAGCAGCCGCGGUAAUACGUAUGGUCCAAGCGUUAUCCGGAUUUACUGGGUGUAAAGGGAGCGCAGGCGGGGCGUUAAGCCUGGUGGGAAAGUCGGCGGCCCAACCGCGGGACUGCGUUGGGAACUGGCGCGCUGGAGUGCGGGUGGGGUAGGCGGAAUGCGUGGUGUAGCGGUGAAAGGCGUAGAUAUUAGGAAGAA